GGCUGAGCUUCAAGUCAGGCUAAACUUUCAGUUGUCCUGUACUGAGUUCAAGACAUUCAUUGAAAAUCAGCCAGGACUCACAGCAGCAGCAAAGAAAAACACCAAAUAUAAAUGGAAGAUUAGCCAAGAGCAGCAGAGGCACAGGCAAGCACAAGCAAAGCACACACCACACUCUAAGCAAUCAGGUGUCCACAACCAAAAACUGUUGGAAAUAAACCAAAAUACUGAAGACCUAGCCUAGUAAACUAGACCCACCCGCCUAGCGGCCAAAAAUAUUUUUGCCUAGCGAGUGGGUCUAGCCUCGCACCAUGUAAACAAAAACACUCCGGGCAUCAAAUCGUGCCCGCCAAUCACAACGCAAGGUUUUUGUUUGGAUU